UAUAUUAAUUAAUCAAAAAUACAGUGGUUUGAUUAAUCCUGAAAGUUGCCACAUUCAUUUCUUCAACCCAUGGUAAUGUUGGAAGAUUAGUGUACAAACGUGUAGAAUUAUAAUAGGAAGAAAAGUGUACAAUAGUAGGCUAUACCCUCGUCUGUUGCCUGCUCUAACUAUGGCACUGUGUGAUGACACCGCCAAGUAUUGCGCCAUGUGUUGGCUUCAAACUGUUACGACUUGGUCAGCGCUCUGCUCCAUAACGAUUUAAUUAGCCUACAUUUCAACUGUUACUAAUGAUACUCAGCAACAACCACACCGCCGUGACCGCGUUUACAGAGGAAGCAAAUGAAGUGAGCUUCUGGGAGAUGGAUCCAGACAACCAGAACCAAAGCCAGCCCCACCCUGAGAACCCAUCUGGACUAUCAGAGGUUUUAACCCCCACUCCAGCAGCACCUUCAGGCACAGAAACGCCAACCUCUGAACCCUGCGCCAAUACUCCUGCUCCUCAAACAUCAGUCCCAGCCCGGCCUCGACGGCCUCAGAGGACCCCCAGAGUAGAGGGCUCUGUAGACGUCUGUGAGCCCAAACCUGACCCCACAGAGGCUAACCAGGACAGAUCCACUCCUGAUGCUCCAGCUGGGGCCAGCCGUCAUAAGCCCCUGCGGCCUGGAGCAGCCAAGCCCCCUGGGGGGCCUGGAGAGCCAGUGGGGUACACUGAAACCACUCUGAAGGCUGGCCCUAAAGUCCCAGGCCACCCCCCAGGGGCCCGGAACCCCAUCUCAAUGAGGGCAGCCUCAGUGCCCCAGCCACCGUCCUCCAGGCCUAUACCUCCCCACCUCAACCCUCAUGCCCAGAGGGCCUUCUCCGUGUCGGGCACCGCGGACACACAGGCCCAGGUGGUAGAAGACUUCAGGUGAGCUCCAGGCUCUGUGUGUUAUCUGUCCAAUCCAGCUUUCACUACUGCACAAUUGUUUUUUUUAAACAUGAACAGAAAAUGCUUUUUAAGAGCAGGCUUCAGACCUUCAGUGUUGUGGGGGCACAGUCAUUUGUCAAUACAUAGCCCUAAGCACCAUAGUAAAGGCUGCAGUGGCAUGUAUCCAACUAAACUUUUACUGGGGUGUAGUUUCCCAUUUACAAAGUGAAAGGGGCAGGAAACUGAUUGACUACUGUACAUACCACCAGAGUACAGCCAGAGGGGAAUAAGUUCCUGGUUUAGUGACUACUUCUUAAGGUCUCUUCCUCCUCUCUUAACUCAAGCUCAACUCAAGUCAGUGGUUGUUUCUCAAUAUGCGUUCUACCGUGCUCCACACUCUCAUGCUCCAAGUGUAUUCUCCAAGGACGUUCUCUUGAGUACAUUCUUGUGAGGAUGAGAGUGUGGAGAACGCAUUAAACAUUACAUUUGAGAAGCACUCGCACUUCCCCUACUGUAUUAGCUAACGCUGCAUCUCCCCAUUCACUGAACCUUUUUCCAGCCAGG
rnacentral:lncRNA from 1 species